rfam:Aedes albopictus isolate Foshan contig145487, whole genome shotgun sequence.
UAGUGUUGUUUAGUUGGUUAAAGCGCUGGACUAGCGAUACGACGUCGUGGGUUCGAAUCCCAUCACUA